rnacentral:rRNA from 1 species
AUACGGAGGGGGCUAGCGUUGUUCGGAAUUACUGGGCGUAAAGGGCGUGUAGGCGGAUCGAUUAGUCAGGCGUGAAAGCCCCGGGCUCAACCCGGGAACUGCGUUUGAAACUGUCGAUCUUGAGUUCGGGAGAGGGUAGUGGAAUUCCCAGUGUAGAGGUGAAAUUCGUAGAUAUUGGGAAGAACACCAGUGGCGAAGGCGGCUACCUGGACCGAUACUGACGCUGAUGCGCGAAAGCGUGGGGAGCAAACAGGAUUAGAAACCCCAGUAGUCC